AGGCUUGGGCGGGGCAGCCAGGCGGUAUUUUAACAGUCGUCCUGGCCGCCUUGCUGUGUGGUGAUCUGGACCGUGCAGACUAGCUCUUUCUUCAGCACUCCUGUUCGGCGUCUCUUUUCUCCAGGAGGAAAAAUGGCAGCAGCAGCAGUGGAUCCGCAACAGAGCGUGGUGAUGAGAGUGGCCAACCUGCCCCUGGUGAGCUCUACCUACGACCUUGUGUCCUCCGCUUAUGUCAGUACAAAGGAUCAGUACCCGUAUUUGAGAUCCGUGUGUGAGAUGGCAGAGAAGGGCGUGAAGACCGUGACCUCUGCGGCUAUGACAAGUGCCCUGCCCAUCAUCCAGAAGCUGGAGCCACAAAUUGCGGUUGCCAAUACCUAUGCCUGCAAGGGGCUAGACAGGAUGGAGGAAAGACUGCCUAUUCUGAACCAGCCAACGUCCGAGAUUGUUGCCAAUGCCAGAGGUGCCAUAACUGGGGCGAAGGAUGUGGUGACGACUACCAUGGCUGGAGCCAAGGAUUCUGUAGCCAGCACAGUCUCAGGGGUGGUGGAUAAGACCAAAGGAGCAGUUACUGGCAGCGUGGAAAGGACCAAGUCUGUUGUCAAUGGCAGCAUCAAUACAGUUUUGGGGAUGGUGCAGUUCAUGAACAGUGGAGUGGAUAAUGCAAUCACCAAGUCGGAGAUGCUGGUAGACCAGUACUUCCCCCUCACUCAGGAGGAGCUGGAGAUGGAAGCAAAAAAGGUGGAAGGAUUUGAUAUGGUUCAGAAGCCGAGCAACUAUGAACGGCUGGAGUCCCUGUCCACCAAGCUCUGCUCUCGGGCUUAUCACCAGGCUCUCAGCAGGGUUAAAGAGGCCAAACAAAAGAGCCAGGAGACCAUUUCUCAGCUCCACUCUACUGUCCACCUGAUUGAAUUCGCCAGGAAGAAUAUGCACAGUGCCAACCAGAAAAUUCAGGGUGCUCAGGAUAAGCUCUAUGUCUCAUGGGUGGAGUGGAAGAGAAGCGUCGGCUAUGACGACACCGAUGAGUCCCACUGUGUUGAGCACAUUGAGUCACGUACUCUGGCUAUCGCCCGCAACCUGACCCAGCAGCUCCAGACUACAUGCCAGACUGUCCUGGUCAAUGCCCAAGGGUUACCACAGAACAUUCAAGAUCAGGCCAAACACUUGGGGGUGAUGGCAGGCGACAUCUACUCCGUGUUCCGCAAUGCUGCCUCCUUUAAGGAAGUGUCCGAUGGCGUCCUCACAUCUAGCAAGGGGCAGCUGCAGAAAAUGAAGGAAUCCUUAGAUGAAGUUAUGGAUUACUUUGUUAACAACACGCCUCUCAACUGGCUGACGUUUGAUUUCCUUGCUGAUGACUCGACAUCUGACAUGGAUGAAGUUCCUGAUAUUAUUCCGUUGGAAGUGGAUGAUUGAACCCAAUGACCACACACUCCCAGCCUUGUCCUCUUAAGGCAAAAGACCACCCAACUAACACAAGGAAAGACUCUAUUUUAUUGAAAAUUGUCUCUUUUCUCCAGGAGGAAAAAUGGCAGCAGCAGCAGUGGAUCCACAACAGAUUGUUGCCAAUGCCAGAGGUGCCGUAACUGGGGCGAAGGAUGUGGUGACAACUACCAUGGCUGGAACCAGGGAUUCUGUAGCCAGCACAGUCUCAGGGGUGGUGGAUAAGACCAAAGGAGCAGUUACUGGCAGCGUGGAAAGGACCAAGUCUGUGGUUAAUGGCAGCAUCAAUACAGUUUUAGGAAUGGUGCGGCUUGUGAACAGUCGAAUAGAUAAUGCAAUCACCAAGUUGGAGCUGCUGGUAGACCAGUACUUCCCCCUCACUCAGGAGGAGUUGGAGAUGGAAGCAAAAAUGGCAGAAGGACCUGAUAAGGUCCAGAAGCCGAGAUACUGUGAGCGUCUGGAGUCCCUGGCCGCCAAGCUCUGCUUGAGGGCCUAUCAUCAGGCUCUCAGCAGGGUUAAAGAGGUCACACAGGUCAGGGGACCUUUACUCAGCCGCAGAAAAUGAAGGGAUCCUUAGAUGAAGUUAUGGAUUUCUUUGUUAACAACACGCCUCUCAACUGGCUGGUAGGUCCCUUUUAUCCUCAGUCUACCGAGGUGGACAAGGCCAGCCUGAGGGUCCAGCAGUCUGAGGUCAAAGCUCAGUAAACCCCUCCUUGUCACUAGUGCAUGGUGUUUCUAGCCAGGUGACCCCUUUUGCUGUAUUGAAAUUAACCUGGUAGAUGGCUUUAGCUUAGAAAAGCAGCUUCUUAGAACUAAGGGCCUCUUAUGGUCACUCACAGCUCAGUUAUGGUCUUGCCCCAGCUGGCCUUGGCACAGGAGUUCUUUUACCUGGCUGGUGAGUGGUGUGUGUUAGUCUUGUGAGGACCUCUCGGAACCUAAAAGCUCAGGUACACUUACAGUCUUGUCUGUGGCCUUUGUAUUGUUAUUGGCUGUAAACGUCUGUCUGGACUGAAUAAAGAUUCAUUCAUGUG